UACGUAGGGUGCGAGCGUUAAUCGGAAUUACUGGGCGUAAAGCGUGCGCAGGCGGUUCGUUGUGUCGGCGGUGAAAGCCCCGGGCUCAACCUGGGAAUGGCCGUUGAAACUGGCGAACUGGAGUGUGGCAGAGGGGGGUGGAAUUCCGCGUGUAGCAGUGAAAUGCGUAGAGAUGCGGAGGAACACCGAUGGCGGAGGCAGCCCCCUGGGCUAACACUGACGCUCAGGCACGAAAGCGUGGGGAGCAAACAGG
rnacentral:rRNA from 1 species